AAUAUAACCAAUCCAUUCCAGUGGUUUUCCAUCAGGUUGUCUUAUCCAAGCUGUCCAGUAGCUACUAACAGAAUAAGAGACCUGACAGCGGAUGGUCAGAGGUUGACCAGGUCGGACAGUCAGAGACUCGGGCUGACCUCACCAGAGCCAGCAGCCAGGAGCAGCAGCAGUACAGCUACAGAGAACAUGGUUUGUGUUGAAGCUGAACUGGAGGAAGAUGUGCUGUUCUACAAUUGACAACUUAUAAGGCUGAGCGAGAGGAGAAAGACCCACAGUCCUAUUUGCAUAAUUAAAUGAGGUGGCAGAUGGUGGUUGAGAUGCUACGUGACCCGGGGACAUGGGGGACAGGAAUCACAGAUCAUUUACACAUUUUAGCAUGUUUUUUAUAGUGUGUACGUUUACUUGCACACUGUUAGUACAAUCAUUUUAUAUCAUUUAUUUUUUUAAGGGAAAUGAAGAUUUACUGUUGAUAUUUGCUUUUCUUUAAAAAAGCAUUAUGAUUUCAAAUGUAAUCUGAGAAUAAAGCAUUUUUUAAGAUCUUAA